GAGUCUACCUAUUAUGCGAGUGUGAGGGUGUAAAAACCUGAACGCGUACCGAAAGGGAGUAUAAGAUGUGAGAUGUCAAAGUUGCAACAUCGACCAUUCCUGAACCUCCGGUGAAGGAUAUGAGUAAGAGCAUAAUCGGUAGGACCCGAAAGAUGGUGAACUACACUUGAGUAGGGUGAAGCCAGGGGAAACUCUGGUGGAGGCUCGUAGCGUUACUGACGUGCAAAAUCGUUCGUCAAAACUUGCGUGUAGGGGCGAAAGACUAAUCGAACCAUCUAGUAGCUGGUUCCCUCUGAAAUUUCUCUCAGGAAAGCUGGAACAGUUAAUGCAGUUUUAUCAGGUAAAGCUAAUGAUUAGAGGAAUCGGAGUCCUGUGGGGCUUUUGACCUCUUCUCAAACUUUAAAUUGGUAAGAACUCCGAGUUAUCUUAAUU
rnacentral:rRNA from 1 species